UCAAAGUCAUGCCAGUUACACUUUCUCAUGAUGUCAUAUUACAUUUAGGCUUUGGUCAUUUAUUUAUUUUUUAUUUUUUGGUUUUUUUUUUUUGAGACAGAGUCUCCCUCUGUUGCCCAGGCUGGAGUGCAAAGCGACACUCCAUCUUCAAAAAAAAC
rnacentral:lncRNA from 1 species